CUUCUCUUCCACCAGCCACCUAUUUUUUUUCCCACACACCUUCUUCCUCCCUGCUUCACGGCAGCAAGCAUGGACGUGGCUCUCUCCCCACGGCCGGACCUCUGCUCCUCUUCCUGGCGAGCAGCAGCCCCUUCCUCCCUCGCUCGGCCGUCCUCCUCCUUCUCUCCGGCCAACAGCAGCCAGCGGCUCCCAUCUCCCAGCAACCUCCAUGGCCGCGGGCGCCCCUGCUCCAACCAUGGCGCCCAGAUUUUUCUAGCUCUCUCCCAUGGCGUCCUCCCCUUCUCCCCCUCGGCUCCAGCUUCCUCGACGCCCCCUGCUCCUUGUCCCUCGCGCAACAGCAGCCAGCGCCCCCUUUUCCUCCUCCCUAGUUCCCACGGCUGCCAGCAGGUACACCUCCCAUGGCGCUGGCCACUCUCCCAUGGCCGAGCCCCUGCGACCUCCAUGGACGCCCCCUCUUUUCUUCUUCGCGCAUCAGCAGGGAGCCCCUGCUCGGGCAGCAGCCAUGGCGCCAUGAUUUUCUGCGCAGCGAUGCCGGUCCAAAAACAGCAGCCCCGGACCCCCUCCGCAUCACGUGCUCGCUCGAUCUGCGCAGUCCCGACCCGCACCGUCGCGAUGGUGUUUGAGACAGCCACAUGCCGCGUCGUCGAUCUGCGCCGUGCUUGUGAGUCGGCUAAAAAAAUCCUUGCUGGAUGUUGCCGCGGCGUCUCGCGUGAUGCAUGAUUCGGUGAAGCACCUAAACCAUGGACGCAUGCGCGACUCGAAUCCGAGAUGACAGGACCGAGAGAUGAUGAUCGUGCAAGUGAUGUGGUGCCAACCACAAGGUGCAGUCGGUGGACGACCCAAGGAAGGAUGAACUUAACCAGUGGAUGCUCGCCGAGCGAGUACCUCCCCCAGCAAACACUGUCUAAGUGUUAAAUUAAAGAUAUGACUCGGCAGAUUUCCACUUUUGAAGAAAAACAUUCUCGAGAUCAGGCUGAACUGGUCCAGCGGUGCUCUGAUUUUGAAGAAAAGUAUUCUCAAAGCCAGACUGAACUAGCUUAGGUCUCCGCUGCCUUAGAUGACGCCAAUGCACUGAGCUCUUCCCUUCGCACUAAGCUUGAUUCUGAAAAGGAAGAAAAAUGUGUCCUUGUUGCUUCCCGCGACAAUCUUGACAGACUGUAUCGUGAUUCCAGCAACUCAUUGACCAUAUUGGAGAGGAGUCAUCGCUUCACCAUGGAGGAGUUAGACAACCAUCGCUGUAAGCUGCAGGAAUCCGCGGAUGAGGUGAUCCGGCUCAAGCAAUUGAUAUCGGCGAAGGAUGCUACUAUCAAAGAACUCCGUGCUUCCAAGAAAUCCAUCGCCCAGGAGCUAGAAGCCGCUCGGUUGGCUGCCAAGGUUGCUGAAGAAACUUCCAUUACUCUGAGAGCCCAGCGCGACAGAGCCAUGGAUAAGGCCAUUCGGGCAGGGCAAAUCUUGAUGAGGAGACCCGGCGUGGUUGUUCCCGAAGAUAUAAAGGCUGACGUGAAUGCUGCUCCUGAUUCCUUGAGUCGCCCUUCCUCGUCGAUUGCUCCUGAGAAAGAUAUCACGAAAUAGAGAAAUAUUUUGCGUGCUUUGAGCGUGCGGUUAGCAUGGUCGGACAUUUGUUAGAGGACACCGGUUUAGCACUUGAAUGAUAUUGUUGUUCUCUUAUUGUUUCAGAAUUCAACAGUACGUAAAUUUGAAGUAGUAAAAUGAUGUGUGAUGGUUUUG